rnacentral:antisense_RNA from 1 species
AGAAGAAGAGGAAGAGAGGCCUGAGCGAGCAUAUUAGCAUGCUCCACCCCCUUCCCACGUGAUGCCCUGUGCUGCCUCGGAACCUGCAGGGUCCCACCAGCAAGAAGGCCCUCAUCAGAUACGGCUCCUCAACCUUGGACCUCCAGCCUCCAUAACUACCCAACCUGUCUGCUGGCUAUGGACAUCCUCCCUUACCUUCACAUGUCACAUGGCAAGUGCCCUCUCCCUGUGAGGGGCAAGGGUGAGAUGGAGGGAGAAGCCCUGUUGAGCUGCUUGGCCAUGAACAGUUUGGGGGAACAGGAAGCUUGCCUUGACCUCGGGUCCAAGACUCCCUCCCUAGAGAUCUCAUCAAAUAACCAGGAAAGACCAACCAACAGAGAAGAGACUGGAAUCAUCUGCCCAGAAAGACGUUUCAUCUAUUCUUCUAAGGACAGCUCCAAGAGAUUACCUGGGGGACUUUGUAUAAAAAAUAAGACAACCUGUGUUCCUGUGCAGCUUCAUCCCUCAUCUUCCCCUAAGUGUCAAGAAGCAAUAGUUAGUCCACAAGCACGAGUGAAAUUACUGAACAAAAUUAAGAUGGAUACAGCACUCUAAAACACCCAUUUGAAUGCAUGUGAAAUCGACGACUUUCUCAAGGUUGAAAAUUUGAAUGGAUUAAAGGAGAUCAGUGAGAGUACAUGAUGCUGCUGGUGAAACACGGGUUUGGAAUUACCUUCUGGAGAUUGGGGUUUCAGAAAACAGAAAAUCAAAGACAAGAAACAGAAUUACAGUAUAAAAUCCUUAGAUUUGAGCACAACUUUAUGGCUUACACAGGGUAGUCAGAUAAGUUAUUUGUUCCUCCUUGCAACCUUAAGAGGUCAAAAUUUGGAUCAUUCCCAUUUAACAGAUAAGGAAACUGAGGGAACUAAAGCUUGAGGUUGUCAAGUAACUUUCCCAAGUAUACUCACCAUAGACCCAGUGCUCUUUGAACUUGAACAUGUAUUCACCGAAUGCAUUAACACUGACCAGAAUCAAACUUUACUUCCCCAAAUAAGCAAGCCCAGAUAAAAACAAAUAGCAGAUUAGUCACAUGUGCAAGCAUUGGGCAAUCAUAUGUAUCCAGGGUGGGCUAUAUGCACUGUGGUUGCUGCUGUGAAGGGUACACAGGUCCCAGAAUCACAGGUGCCUUCAUAUUAAAAAGGACCUUCGAGUUCAUCUACUCCAAUCUCCACAUUUUACCUGAAUAAACUAAUGCUCAGAGAUACUAAGCAGCUUCCCAAGGUCAAACACAGCAAAUUAAAGUCAGCCAAGACUCAAGGCCUGGUUUCCAACAAGGCUGCCUUCUCAAGGAGUCCACAGUCUGGAAGACUAGACUAUAACAAGUCAUAAGACAGGAGUCAUCACAAGGGAAUACACAAUUAUUUGCAAAUGACUCUUAUUGACAAGGAAAAGGCUGAUGCUUCAGGGAACAGAUGUUGCUGGACCCACUGACACAGCAUUACAUUUCUGAGCUAAGAGGCUGAGUCAAUUGGACCCAUACAUUCUGUGCUUCCUGGUUUUGCAAUUGGAUUGAUUGAACUCUGCAGAAACAGCCAUAAGGACAAUCUAAGGAAAUAAAGCAAUUGUGGCCCCGGGGAUCAAGAGCUCCAUUGAGUUGAGAGUCCUAGACAGCUGCCUCAGAGAACCAAAGGGUUUCCAUAUCACUAGGUGAAGGAUACUCCCUUCUUUCAUACAGAAGCUGCUGUGGUGCCAGUCUUCCUAGGAAAUGUUCCUAGUGACCAGAAAAUGUCGAACAGGGAUGUUCGCUCAGUGCUGGAUCUUAGUCACUGAGCAUACCCUCCUCCUACCACUCUAUCCACUGACUAUUAACUAGCCUCCUAUCUCACCUUCCUGAGGCUGAGUUUACUCUCUAGGAGGAGGUUAAAAACCACAGAGAGAAGCUGGGUGUGGUGGCCUGUAGUGUCAGCUACUCGGAAGGCUGUGGUGGGAAGAUCGUUUGAGCCCAUGAGUUUGAGACCAGCCUGGGUAACAUAGCAAGACUCUGUCGCUAAAAAUAAAAACCACAAAACAAGGAAUUACUAAGAGACCUGGAGGGAAUGUAGGCCAUGUAGCCCAGAGAAGAAUUUCAGGAUCCAGAGUCAGACAAACAAACCCUUCCUCAAAUCUCAACCCUUCCAUUCCGAGGCUGAUUGACUUUAAGCAAAUCAUGUCUAUUCUCUGAGUGUCACGUUCCUCACCUGUGAAAUAACCACCAUCAUUGGGCUUUCAGGGAGGAGAAGGGGCAGAAAUGAUAUCAUUCAUGUCGAGCACCUAGUAAAAAGCCUAUACAUAUCACCAU